GUCUCAAGCUUUACAUUUAUAGCAGCAAAAAAUACAUCUUAAAUGAUGGUAAACAACUUUACCACAAGUUAAGUGCUAUAUCUCUACAUCUGUGUGAAAGCGUUAUAUUGGUGUAUUUCAAUCCUGUCAGGUGUUACUGCUCUGGUUGUUAUAUUGGUGUAUUUCAAUCCUGUCAGGUGUUACUGCUCUGGUUGUUAUAUUGGUGUAUUUCAAUCCUGUCAGGUGUUACUGCUCUGGUUGUUAUAUUGGUGUAUUUCAAUCCUGUCAGGUGUUACUGCUCUGGUUGUUAUAUUGGUGUAUUUCAAUCCUGUCAGGUGUUACUGCUCUGGUUGUUAUAUUGAUGUAUUUAAAUCCUGUCAGGUGUUACUGCUCUGGUUGUUAUAUUGGUGUAUUUCAAUUCUGUCAGGUGUUACUGCUCUGGUUGUUAUAUUGGUGUAUUUCAAUCCUAUCAGGUGUUACUGCUCUGGUUGUUACAGGGAGUUAUAUUGGUGUAUUUCAAUCCUGUCAGGUGUUACUGCUCUGGUUGUUAUAUUGGUGUAUUUCAAUCCUGUCAGGUGUUACUGCUCUGGUUGUUAUAUUGGUGUAUUUCAAUCAUGUCAGGUGUUAAUGCUCUGGUUGUUAUAUUUGUGUAUUUCAAUCCUCUCAGGUGUUACUGCUCUGGUUGUUACAGGGAGUUAUAUUGGUGUAUUUCAAUCCUGUCAGGUGUUACUGCUCUGGUUGUUAUAUUGGUGUAUUUCAAUCCUGUCAGGUGUUACUGCUCUGGUUGUUAUAUUGGUGUAUUUCAAUCCUGUCAGGUGUUACUGCUCUGGUUGUUAUAUUGGUGUAUUUCAAUCCUGUUAGGUGUUACUGCUCUGGUUGUUAUAUUGGUGUAUUUCAAUCCUGUUAGGUGUUACU